UGACCGUAACGAUGCCACUAGCGAUCCGCCGGUGGUAAUUACGCCCUGGCGGGGAGCUUCCCGGAAACGAAAGUCUUCCGGUUCCGGGGGAAGUAUGGUUGCAAAGCUGAAACUUAAAGGAAUUGACGGAAGGGCACCACCAGGAGUGGAGCCUGCGGCUUAAUUUGACUCAACACGGGAAAACUCACCCGGCCCGGACACCGUGAGGAUUGACAGAUUGAGAGCUCUUUCUUGAUUCGGUGGUUGGUGGUGCAUGGCCGUUCUUAGUUGGUGGAGCGAUUUGUCUGGUUUAUUCCGAUAACGAACGAGACUCUGGCCUAUUAAAUAGUCGGUAUAUCCAGAAAAGUUUACCGUACUUCUUAGAGGGACAAACGGCGUCUAGCCGCGUGAAAUAGAGCAAUAACAGGUCUGUGAUGCCCUUAGAUGUCCGGGGCUGCGCGCGCGUUACACUGAAAGAAUCAGUAUGCGCUUUAACCUAGUCCGGAAGGAUUGGGUAACCCGAGCAAAUUCUUUCGUGCUUGGGAUAGGGAAUUGCAAUUAUUUCCCUUAAACGAGGAAUUCCCAGUAAAUGCGGGUCAUAAGCUCGCGUUGAUUACGUCCCUGCCCUUUGUACACACCGCCCGUCGCUACUACCGAUUGGAUGACUUAGUGAGGUCUUAGGACCGACGUAAAGGAGCUUUCGCGAGUUCUUUUUCGUU
rnacentral:rRNA from 1 species